CAGUAGCCACGGUAAUACGUAGGUGGCAAGCGUUGUCCGGAAUUAUUGGGCGUAAAGCGCGCGCAGGCGGUUUCUUAAGUCUGAUGUGAAAGCCCCCGGCUUAACCGGGGAGGGUCAUUGGAAACUGGGAAACUUGAGUGCAGAAGAGGAGAGUGGAAUUCCACGUGUAGCGGUGAAAUGCGUAGAGAUGUGGAGGAACACCAGUGGCGAAGGCGACUCUCUGGUCUGUAACUGACGCUGAGGAGCGAAAGCGUGGGGAGCGAACAGGAUUAGAUACCCCCGUAGUCCCUGUCUCUUAUAC
rnacentral:rRNA from 1 species